rnacentral:lncRNA from 1 species
UUCUAUGCCUAGUAAAUUACAACAGAUAUAAUAUAUAUUGUGCGAUUCACUUGUGUUUGAAUUUUAAAUGUCCUCUCUUCUUUCAGAAACCCCAAUAGCAGAAGCCAAGUGAGGCGACGCGAACGAAAGCGAUAGACUUCUCCGGCUCCUUGGAUUCGACGGAGUGAGGCCACGAAAGCUCGGAGGCGCCCGCAAGAGAUGUCCAUCGCGAGGAACCGACAAACUCCGCGCUCAAGAAGUCUCACGAGUCUCGACUUGAGCGAAGAUCAACUCAAGAUGGAAAACAAGUCCGUCGAGAUGGACUCGCCCAACUCCAACUCAGUGCAAAAAGUGACCGAGUCCUUCACCGUCCUUAAAGGGGGCUCGUAUUGGCCCACAGGAGAUGACCAAAGGAGCAGCAUCGCCUCGGAGGAGAGCAUCGAAGAUCAGCGGAACCUAAAAGCACCCGUCAAAAACCCCAACAACACCACACAAGAGGCCGCCAACACAACUUCAAAGGCAGCAACAUCAAAACCGUCCCGACCAAAGGGCCCACACCCCGACGAGAUCGAGCGGCGUAAAGCGGCGAUUUUAGCCCACAUUUCGGCAACCCUCCCACCGAAAGAGCUAAAGCUUGCACCCUGGAACCCUCUCCCUUCCGUCCAGGAGGUCGAAAGCAAAACGCCCAUCGUUUCCACGCCGUCCCACCUGAAAGAAGAGUCGCACGAGAUCUUCGCCGAGAAAACCUCGAAGAAAGUCAAGAAGACGAUUCUGGGCUCCAAGUUGAACAGCUUCGACGUGACGACCCCUCCGCCGCGACACGAGAACUCCGUGCAGACGACCGUGAGCAAGUACAUCUGCAAGAAGCUCAAGAACAAACUCAAGCUGGCGCAGACCAAGAGCCACGUCGAGACCACGAGCAUGCGAACGGAGACCGAGGGAGCCACGAACGUAGCCGCGAGCACGGCCAAGUUGGAGACGACCCAGAAGGUGAACACCAUCACCACUUCCUCCGUGCCCGAGGUUGAUCCGAAAACGACGGUGGUGUUCUCGUCGGACGCGCAGGUUCUCAACAGCAUGGAGAUGACGACGAAGCUGGUCGUGAAGGACCAGCUCAAGCAGGAGGCAACUUCGACAGAGCCGUCGAUGGUGGCGCCAACGACGGAGAGACACCACCGCGGGUUCCUCGAGUCCACUGACGACGUCCCCGAGAGACCCAACCGGGGUCGGCUCCUCAUCCACCCGCAACACCAUUCCUUCUACCCGUACUUCCUGAAUAGAGUCCUAGGUUAAGUUGAGGGAGCCGCUCCGUCGCCCGUCAAAAUUGGUUAGGAUUUUAUACGCAUGUUUUCAGCGCUAGGUUUAAGUGUUUGAUACAGGCUUUUCCAUUGAAGUAGCGUGUUUUUCCCGGCCGGGUCGAUCUGAUCGGCAUGAAAUUUUCAAGGAAAAAUAUUCAUGAAGAUCGUCAGAAAUAAACAUCAAAUCGAAGGAAAUUUUACAACUCUCGAAUGUUCAUACGGCGUUCUUCCUUAGUAGAAUCGGUAUAGUCAAUCUAAUAUAUUUGUGGUUGGAACCUUUAUUUUCGAUUUUUUUUUAGGGGCCGUCCCUAUAAAUUACGGAACGCUGUAGGGAGGAGGGGGACCGAGGAUUUUUACGGCAAUUUUAUUUUUACGUGUUAAAGGAUAGAUUUACGCCACAAAAUGCGUUACAAGAGUGGAGGGGAGGGGGGUCAAAAAUGCCGAAAAAAUGCGAUACGUAAUUUAGAGACGGUCCCUAACCAAAAUUUACAGCACACCCUCAGCCAGUGUUGUUGUAUAGCCGACUGACAUUCGGUAAGAACGAAGAACUGGAAACAGUUCACGAGGAAGGAGCCGAGUUUUUUGGCAAAACGAGGGGGCUGCUUGUUAGUUGCUCGAGGAACACCAUAAGCAUCGGUAUACAAUUGGUUCCUUUCUUUAAAGAGGGGAAAAAAGUAAUAAAAAGUAAAAUGAUUUUUCCAUUUGAAAUCUGAGAGGAAUUAAGUUGUGUAUGUGGUUCCUUUCUCUGAAUUGAUUUGGCCCGUUCUGCAUUCUGGAGAGCAGGGGAACCGAGUUACUGAAAAUGUUUUAAUAAAAUGAAAAUGUUUUCAACGGCUUCAAUUUUCUGGAUCAGAAAGAACUUGCAAUUAAGAUGGAAAUUUGAAAGCGAGCUUUUCUUUGUGAAAAUUAAAGUAAGUCCAAAAUGAUCAUUUUCUAGUCUAAUUUAACAAUUCGGCAAAUCAGGACCGGAAAUUAAAAAGGAAGUCCAAACAUUGAAGCUGAAUUACAAUUUAUCAAAUACAGGCGGAGCUUUGUUAAGUUUCUGUUGGUCUUUUGUUUGUUUUUUUUUGCAUUUUUUUAAAAAAGAAAAAUUAAAGUAAACUAAGGAAUAUGCUGCUCUUUUUUUUUGAGCCAAAGAUUAAAAGGCAUGCAUCAUCAUAGGUUUCAACGUAUGCGUUCUGACUUCUUCAUUUCUCUCAAUUCUCUAUAUUUUUUAUCUUACCUACCUAUGUUUACGACGGAGAACGUGAUAAUUGUGCCAACGAGUGAUGUGACAUAUAAAUUUGAGUCUUCAAAUUGUUUCCAACGAGUUCAAGAGACUCACAAGACAACUUACAAACUCCAAAGACAAAACUGUAUCUAAAAUGUAUAAUUUAUGCUGAUCACUAUACUCGAUUUAUAAACACCGUCGUAAUACGGAGACGCAGUAAAAAAGAGGGGCGGUGGUAAAAAUUCGGGUCUUAAAGGCAGGUAUCCUGAAAAGGCUCCUUUCAAGUCUGCUGAUGUGCAGUGAUCUUUGUCACGGUGCCAUUAUAAUUUCUUCCUAUACUCUUCAAUUACAUGGGUUAAGUAUUGUUUAUUCAUGUGUUUUGUGUAAAGCUAGUCAUUAGAUGAGAAUCAUUUCAAAGAAAAAUGUGCACAUAAAAAGAAUAUUUUUAUAGUUCAUCAAUUUAAUGUUUUAUUUUUUAUCUGUUUCUAUCAUGCUUUGUUAUUCUCUAUUAUUUAACUGGUAUGACUCAACCAUAUUUCAUAAUUUAAUUUGUUACUUUCUUGCGCUCUCUCUUACUUAUGGACUCUUAAAGUAUAGCUAUCAAUUUGUUUUUUGCGGGAAAAGGGAGCAUAAAUUAUUUUAUAAGCUUGCCCUUGGAAUUUUGUGCGUCCACUUUAGAUGUGCUCGUAACUUUACCACGGACACCUAUGUUUAGUUAAAAGAGAAACACUAGAAUUGUGUUAACAAAGUACUUUAGUCUAGUAGUUUAAUACUUUGAACAACGUCUUGGUUUUAAGUGAACGCUCUGUCAUAGAUACAGGAAAGAAUAAUAUUGUUGAUGCCUCACAAAAUUUACAUCUGUAAUUUUGAGUCAACACUUGCAGAGGCUAUAUUUUUUGACUCAAAUAGUCUUCUUUUUCUCUUAUUUUCUGAUUAUAUAGUUACUUUGUUAUUAAUUCAUGUCAGCCUGUACAGUAUUUAUCCCGUCCUUUCAGUAAAAUAUGAGUGCUUCAAAAGAAAAUUGAUUUUCCUUUAGCGUAAGUUCUAUCGAGUCACAUAAACAAGAUGAAUAGAAAUCGCGCAGAGAAUGGAUGAACUUUGUCUUCCCCGUCCACAGUCCGAUGAAAGUUCAUGAAUUUCUUUUAAAAAUUUUUUCAGAUUUAUGUUCAUGAUGAAAGUUUAUUGAUUUCUUUUUAAAAAAAUUCAGAUUUAUGUUAAUCAGAAUUUUUACAAAAGUCCGGGAAAAUGUAUGAUCUCAUAAUAUACCACUUUCUUCACGAAUCCAGUGCUUGCUGUCAUAUGAGUACAGUGAUGGGCAACAUGUUAGGAAGCUAUUAAAAUUCCGCUUUUUUCAAAACAUUCCAGCUCUGAUUUAAUGUCCUCGAACCUGGUACGUGCCACCGGUUUUUUGUAUCAUUCAAUUAAGAUCAACGCACAGAGGACGAGUUAUUAACGUGUGUACUCAUCGAUGUUGCCCAAUUUUAUCCACUUACCUACCUAUAAUUCUGCUCAUAAAUUAAUGAAUGAGUCAAACACUUGCUUUUCGGCUUUAAACCGAUUCUCUUUUGCAUUUUUCAAUGAGGACAUUGUAUUUUUAAACAUGAAUAAAAUUCCAAUUUAAUAUUUCGAGCCGGAAACAUUCGCCGGAACGGCGAAAUCCCCAAAUCACGUAUCUUUGUUUACGGCGUUGCAAGCUUUGUGUCAUACUUCGUUUUUUCAUUGAAAAACUAUUCAACGUUGCUCCCUAACAACGUGUGUGAUUUGUCUACUCUGUAUGCGCGGAAUUGUCUUUGAAAAUUUGGAGGAAUCGUUUUGAUUCGUUCUUCGUACAAAAAACGAAAUAUGAAAGAGAUUUUGAAACAUUGCAAGCAAGAUACAAAGUUUGGUGCAUCGUCGGUACACUUACUUUAUCAUGAACUUAUAUUCCUAGUCCUUUGGAGUGAAGUAGGUAAACCUGAUGUUAUUCUAAGUAUGCACAAAUAACAAGGAAUGAUACAUUUUCGUUGAAUGUUAAACUUUAACGGUCAUUUCUCAUUCUACAUGGAUGUCCAAACAUUUGUUCAGCUUCCUCUCAUUUCCGUGUGAUCAAAUUUCUCUUGUUCCAUCCAACCGGUAAAAUUUAUUCCUUCCCCUCGAACAUGAGGUUGAUAAGUACGGUUGUGAAAACUAAUGUAUUUUCUUUCAGUAAAAAGAGGUUUAUAAAUAAGACACAUAUUAUUGAAGGUACAAGCGCCAUAAAUUUUGCGAGUAUGGAAAUCGUGUGCUCAAAUUUUUUUAUUCUUUAGAUAUACACUAAUCGUUUUACUAGCUAUACCCUUCCAUAUGGUCUCAUGAGUGUCAUAUGUAGUGGUAGACUAUUAGUUUUAACAAUUAUUUAGGUAAAAUAAUGCAUUGGAUGUGUCAAAUUUAGUUACCAUAAUUUUCUAAAGUUGUAUUUAGUACCUACUUGAAGUAACAGUACUUAAUAACAUUAAAAUUUCUUAACGACAUAAACAAGUUU